AAUAUUGGACAAUGGGGGCAACUGUGAUCCAGCCAUGCCGCGUGUGUGAAGAAGGUCUUCUGUUUGUAAAGCACUUUAAGUGGGGAGGAAGGGCUUUAGGUUAAUACCCUGAAGUUUUGACGUUACCAACAGAACUAGCACCGCCUAACUCUGUGCCAGCAGCCGCGGUACUACAGCGGGUGCAAGCGUUAAUCGGAAUUACUGGGCGUAAAGCGCGCGUAGGUGGUUCAGUAAGAUGGGUGUGAAAUCCCCGGGCUUAACCUGGGAACUGCUUUCAUAACUGCUGAGCUAGAGUACGGUAGAGGGUAGUGGAAUUUCCUGUGUAGCGGUGAAAUGCGUAGAUAUAGGAAGGAACACCAGUGGCGAAGGCGACUACCUGGACUGAUACUGACACUGAGGUGCGAAAGCGUGGGGGGCAAAC
rnacentral:rRNA from 1 species